rnacentral:rRNA from 1 species
AGAAUCAACGCUGGCGGCGUGCCUAACACAUGCAAGUCGAACGAGAAAGUGGAGCAAUCCAUGAGUACAGUGGCGCACGGGUGAGUAACACGUGACUACCUACCCUCGAGUGGGGAAUAACCUCGGGAAACCGGGCUAAUACCGCAUAACAUCUACGGAUCAAAUGCGAAAGCAGCUUGAGGAGGGGGUCGCGGCCGAUUAGCUAGUUGGUGAGGUAAUGGCCCACAAGGCAAUGAUCGGUA